rnacentral:rRNA from 1 species
AAAGGAAUAGACGGGGGCCCGCACAAGCAGUGGAUUAUGUGGUUUAAUUCGACGCAACGCGAAGAACCUUACCGGGAUUUGACAUCCUACUAACGAGGCAGAGAUGCGUUAGGUACCCUUCGGGGGAAGUAGAGACAGGUGGUGCAUGGUUGUCGUCAGCUCGUGUCGUGAGAUGUUGGGUUAAGUCCCGCAACGAGCGCAACCCUUAUUGUUAGUUGCUACGCAAGAGCACUCUAGCAAGACUGCCGUUGACAAAACGGAGGAAGGCGGGGACGACGUCAAAUCAUCAUGCCCCUUAUGUCCCGGGCUACACACGUAAUACAAUGGCGGCUAACAAAGGGAGGCGAAACCGCGAGGUGGAGCAAACCCCCAAAAGCCGUCUCAGUUCGGAUUGCAGGCUGCAACUCGCCUGCAUGAAGUUGGAAUUGCUAGUAAUCGUGGAUCAGCAUGCCACGGUGAAUACGUUCCCGGGCCUUGUACACACCGCCCGU